GACGAACGCUGGCGGCGUGCCUAAUACAUGCAAGUAGAACGCACAGUUUAUACCGUAGCUUGCUACACCAUAGACUGUGAGUUGCGAACGGGUGAGUAACGCGUAGGUAACCUGCCUGGUAGCGGGGGAUAACUAUUGGAAACGAUAGCUAAUACCGCAUAAUAUUGAUUAUUGCAUGAUAAUUGAUUGAAAGAUGCUAUUGCAUCACUACCAGAUGGACCUGCGUUGUAUUAGCUAGUAGGUGAGGUAACGGCUCACCUAGGCGACGGUACAUAGCCGACCUGAGAGGGUGAGCGGCCACACUGGGACUGAGACACGGCCCAGACUCCUACGGGAGGCAGCAGUAGGGCAUCUUCGGCAAUGGACGAAAGUCUGACCGAGCAACGCCGCGUGAGUGAAGAAGGUUUUCGGAUCGUAAAGCUCUGUUGUAAGAGAAGAACGGGUGUGAGAGUGGAAAGUUCACACUGUGACGGUAUCUUACCAGAAAGGGGCGGCUAACUACGUG
rnacentral:rRNA from 1 species